AGACCGAUAGCAAACAAGUACCGUGAGGGAAGAUUGAAAAGAACUUUGAAGAGAGAGUUCAAUAGUACGUGAAACUGUGUGGUGGUAAACGGAGGGGUUCUCGAAGUUUCUGUGGGGAACUCAACCUUGGUGGUUUGCAGCCCUGCUGUCUUUGAUCAGCAAUGACUUUGCAGCUUGUCUCGCUUUCCUCCCGGGUGCAUUUCCCCCGCAGUUUACGACAGGAACCGUUUGGCUCAGACCGAAGGAUUCGGGUGAAGUUGUUGGUUCUGCCUUCAGCCCCGUUCUCCUGGCUCUGAACCAGACGGGUACGUGAGAGGACUCGUAUAUCGAGCAAUGCUCUGUUGCGGUUCUCAUCUCUCUGUCGAGUAGGUCGGCGGCCCCUCCGACCCGUCUUGAAACACGGAC
rnacentral:rRNA from 1 species